rnacentral:rRNA from 1 species
UGGGAAUAUUGGACAACGGGCGGAAGCCUGAUCCAGCAACGCCGCGUGAGGGAUGACGGCCUUCGGGUUGUAAACCUCUUUCAGUACCGACGAAGCGGAAGUGACGGUAGGUACAGAAGAAGCACCGGCCAACUACGUGCCAGCAGCCGCGGUAAUACGUAGGGUGCGAGCGUUGUCCGGAAUUAUUGGGCGUAAAGGGCUCGUAGGCGGUUUGUCGCGUCGGGAGUGAAAACACUGGGCUUAACUCAGUGCUUGCUUCCGAUACGGGCAGACUAGAGGCAUGCAGGGGAGAACGGAAUUCCUGGUGUAGCGGUGAAAUGCGCAGAUAUCAGGAGGAACACCGGUGGCGAAGGCGGUUCUCUGGGCAUGUCCUGACGCUGAGGAGCG